rnacentral:rRNA from 1 species
GACGAACGCUGGCGGCGUGCUUAACACAUGCAAGUCGAACGGAAAGGCCCUUCGGGGUACUCGAGUGGCGAACGGGUGAGUAACACGUGGGUGAUCUGCCCUGCACUUUGGGAUAAGCCUGGGAAACUGGGUCUAAUACCGAAUAGGACCACGCGCUUCAUGGUGUGUGGUGGAAAGCUUUUGCGGUGUGGGAUGGGCCCGCGGCCUAUCAGCUUGUUGGUGGGGUAAUGGCCUACCAAGGCGACGACGGGUAGCCGGCCUGAGAGGGUGACCGGCCACACUGGGACUGAGAUACGGCCCAGACUCCUACGGGAGGCAGCAGUGGGGAAUAUUGCACAAUGGGCGCAAGCCUGAUGCAGCGACGCCGCGUGAGGGAUGACGGCCUUCGGGUUGUAAACCUCUUUCAAUAGGGACGAAGCGCAAGUGACGGUACCUAUAGAAGAAGCACCGGCCAACUACGUGCCAGCAGCCGCGGUAAUACGUAGGGUGCGAGCGUUGUCCGGAAUUACUGGGCGUAAAGAGCUCGUAAGUGGUUUGUCGCGUUGUUCGUGAAAACUCACAGCUUAACUGUGGGCGUGCGGGCGAUACGGGCAGACUAGAGUACUGCAGGGGAGACUGGAAUUCCUGGUGUAGCGGUGGAAUGCGCAGAUAUCAGGAGGAACACCGGUGGCGAAGGCGGGUCUCUGGGCAGUAACUGACGCUGAGGAGCGAAAGCGUGGGGAGCGAAUAGGAUUAGAUACCCUGGUAGUCCACGCCGUAAACGGUGGGUACUAGGUGUGGGUUCCUUCCUUGGGAUCCGUGCCGUAGCUAACGCGUUAAGUACCCCGCCUGGGGAGUACGGCCGCAAGGCUAAAACUCAAAGGAAUUGACGGGGGCCCGCACAAGCGGCGGAGCAUGUGGAUUAAUUCGAUGCAACGCGAAGAACCUUACCUGGGUUUGACAUGCACAGGACGCCGGCAGAGAUGUCGGUUCCCUUGUGGCCUGUGUGCAGGUGGUGCAUGGCUGUCGUCAGCUCGUGUCGUGAGAUGUUGGGUUAAGUCCCGCAACGAGCGCAACCCUUGUCCUAUGUUGCCAGCGGGUUAUGCCGGGGACUCGUAGGAGACUGCCGGGGUCAACUCGGAGGAAGGUGGGGAUGACGUCAAGUCAUCAUGCCCCUUAUGUCCAGGGCUUCACACAUGCUACAAUGGCCGGUACAAAGGGCUGCGAUGCCGUGAGGUGGAGCGAAUCCUUUCAAAGCCGGUCUCAGUUCGGAUCGGGGUCUGCAACUCGACCCCGUGAAGUCGGAGUCGCUAGUAAUCGCAGAUCAGCAACGCUGCGGUGAAUACGUUCCCGGGCCU